UUGCAGUCACAUCAAGUUGAAACAUUGGUUUUCGUACGAUCACGGAAAUCAAGCAACCUUGAGCCUGGUCAGUACCCGGACGGGUGACCGCUUGGUAAUACCAGGUACAGUA